CCUCUUCUUGCACAGGAUGCUGAAAGAAUUUACUUUUAAUCAUCUUUAUUAUCUCAUUGAAGCUUGGAAUUACAUAGCUGGAAAGGAUCUUACAGGUUGUCACUCUGCCACCCAGGCUGGAGUACAGUGGCACAAUCAUAACUCACUGCCGCCUUGACCUUCCUGCUCAAGUGAUCCUCCCAUCUCAGCCUCCCAAGUAGUUGGAACUACAGAUGACUACCACCACGCCUAGCAAAUUUUUGUAUAUUUUAUAGAGACUAGGGUCUCGCCAUGUUGCCCAGGCUGGUCUCGAACUCCUGGUCUCAAGAGAUCUGCCAGCCUCAGCCUGCCAGAGUGCUGGGAUUACAGGAGUGUGCCACCAUGCCUGGCUUGAAAGAAAUCUUGAGAGAUA